GACGAACGCUGGCGGCGUGCUUAACACAUGCAAGUCGAACGGAAAGGCCCUGCCUUUGUGGGGUGCUCGAGUGGCGAACGGGUGAGUAACACGUGAGUAACCUGCCCUUGACUUUGGGAUAACUUCAGGAAACUGGGGCUAAUACCGGAUAGGAGCUCCUGCUGCAUGGUGGGGGUUGGAAAGUUUCGGCGGUUGGGGAUGGACUCGCGGCUUAUCAGCUUGUUGGUGGGGUAGUGGCUUACCAAGGCUUUGACGGGUAGCCGGCCUGAGAGGGUGACCGGCCACAUUGGGACGGAGAUGCGGCCCAGACUCCUACGGGAGGCAGCGGUGGGGAAGAUUGCACAAUGGGCGGAAGCCUGAUGCAGCAACGCCGCGUGCGGGAUGACGGCCUUCGGGUUGUAAACCGCUUUCGCCUGUGACGAAGCGUGAGUGACGGUAACGGGUAAAGAAGCACCGGCUAACUACGUG
rnacentral:rRNA from 1 species